rnacentral:rRNA from 1 species
UUCGGUGACCAUAGCGGUGGGGAGACACCUGUUCCCAUCCCGAACACAGCAGUUAAGCCCACCAGCGCCGAUGGUACUGCCCUGGCAACGGGGUGGGAGAGUAGGUCAUUGCCGAGU